UCUCCUGUAGCGUCAGGACCUGGAGAGCUUGAACACACCACUUGGUCGGAACGCCUUGCACACAGUCUGUCUUUGCUGCACCAACGGGGCCAGCAGCACCCCCUACGCUUGCCAAGGCUGAGGCGGCAGGUUGGAUUCGACCUGUGGGCCGCGGUUUGCCAGCCCUGAUCUACAGAGGAUACGGACAGCUCGGCAUGUCCUAAGAGACCUCUCCAGCCCUCCCCACUCUCUCGCCCUGGGAGAUCUCCGCCCCAUGGCCUCCUGGAAGCUGAUGCUCCCAGAUCCGCGCCUCCAGCUGGACCUCUGCAGAGCUCGAGGCUCUGGACUCCGGCGGACUCCACGCCCAAAAGUCGCAUCAGCUGCUCCUGCUGAGCGUGUCCACGCCUCAGCUCAUCGUCUCUCUUCCCUCAUCCCUCUCUGUAAGGUAGCAUCUCAGGUGCACGUGUUUUUGGAGCAUCCUCCCAGUUCACAACAACCCUCUUAAUCACAGCCACCUGUCCACCUCCAGCCAUCUUACCCCCUCCCCUCCCUUGGUGCUGGGUCAGUUCCCGUGGUUCAGCAGGACACCUCCGCCCAGGUGAGCAUCAGGCAGCUGGCCAUUCAGUCUCUUCCCUGGGAAUUUGGAACCAGGUGGUGCUGGUGUUUCUUCAGGUGAAUUGGCCUGUUCUCCGUGGGUGGGAGCUAUGGGAGAGGCAUUUUCCACCACGCUGGGGCCUAGAGAAGUGGCGGGAGUUGGUCUGAGGAGAGCUGUGCAGGCAGGAUCAAAGGUGAGAAGGCUGAGGCUGAGGCCGAGGCCGUGUGCCCAUUGUACAGAUGCUGAAGGAGACUCCAAGGGAAGAACGAUGUGGUCCCCAGGUCAGUAAUCCAGGCUUUUCGGCCUUGACCCUCCUUCCCUCAGGUUCAUCCCGUGCCCCUGAGCUUUUGCUCUCUGCAAGCAGGAGGGUCCCCCGAAUCAUCUGAAAGCCUGUCAUGCUUUGCUGCCCCUUCCCCAAUGCACUCCUGACAAAGGGGUUGAGAGCAGGGAGGGCGGGACCGACCUGCUGAG